rnacentral:rRNA from 1 species
UACAGAGGUGGCAAGCGUUGUUCGGAAUUACUGGGCGUAAAGGGCGCGUAGGCGGUCUUGUAAGUCUUGUGUGAAAUCCCUCGGCUUAACUGAGGAACUGCACGGGAUACUGCGAGACUUGAGUUCGGGAGAGGGAAGCGGAAUUCCGGGUGUAGCGGUGAAAUGCGCAGAUAUCGGGAAGAACACCCGUGGCGAAGGCGGUUCUCUGGGACGGUACUGACGCUGAGACGCGAAAGCGUGGGGAGCGAACAGG